UGUCUGCUAUUUUAAAUACGCACACAGACCGACACAUGAUCUUGGGUGCUGCGCGAAUUGAUUUUAAAGCUUAAUUGAUUCAAGUGGUUAGAUGAUGGGGUUUGUGGAGGCCUAAC
rnacentral:sRNA from 1 species